rnacentral:rRNA from 1 species
CCUACGGGGGGCAGCAGUGAGGAAUAUUGGUCAAUGGCCGAGAGGCUGAACCAGCCAAGUCGCGUGAGGGAAGAAUGUCCUAUGGAUUGUAAACCUCUUUUGUCAGGGAGCAAAGUCACCCACGUGUGGGUGUUGGAGAGUACCUGAAGAAAAAGCAUCGGCUAACUCCGUGCCAGCAGCCGCGGUAAUACGGAGGAUGCGAGCGUUAUCCGGAUUUAUUGGGUUUAAAGGGUGCGUAGGCGGGUUAUCAAGUCAGCGGGAAAAUCUGGGAGCUCAACUCCAACUAGCCGUUGAAACUGAUGAUCUUGAGUGCGCGAGAGGUAUGCGGAAUGCGUGGUGUAGCGGUGAAAUGCAUAGAUAUCACGCAGAACUCCGAUUGCGAAGGCAGCACACCGGCGCCCGACUGACGCUGAAGCACGAAAGCGUGGGUAUCGAACAGGAUUAGAUACCCCGGUAGUC